rnacentral:rRNA from 1 species
AGGACGAACGCUGGCGGCGUGCUUAACACAUGCAAGUCGAGCGACGCUCCUCCUUCGGGAGGAUGACGGAGCGGCGAACGGGUGAGUAACACGUGGGCAACCUGCCCCUAGCUCUGGGAUAAGCCCGGGAAACCGGGUCUAAUACCGGAUACGAGACCGAGAGGCAUCUCUUGGUCUGGAAAGUUUUUCGGCUAGGGAUGGGCCCGCGGCCUAUCAGCUUGUUGGUGGGGUAAUGGCCUACCAAGGCGACGACGGGUA